rnacentral:rRNA from 1 species
AGCAGCCGCGGUAAUUCCAGCUCCAAUAGCGUAUAUUAAAGUUGUUGCAGUUAAAAAGCUCGUAGUUGAAUUUCGGGAUCAAUUUAUUGGUCGUGCUAUUGUACGUACUGGUAUUAUUGAUUCCUACCUUCUGACGAACCAUGAUGUCAUUAAUUUGGUGUCUUGGGGAAUCAGGACUGUUACUUUGAAAAAAUUAGAGUGUUUAAAGCAGGCUCACGCUUGAAUACAUUAGCAUGGAAUAACGAAAUAGGACGUUUGAUUCUAUUUUGUUGGUUUCUAGGAUCGACGUAAUGAUUAAUAGGGAUAGUUGGGGGCAUUAGUAUUCAAUUGUCAGAGGUGAAAUUCUUGGAUUUAUUGAAGACUAACUACUGCGGAAGCAUUUGCCAAGGAUGUUUUCAUUAAUCAAGAACGAAAGUUAGGGGAUCGAAGACGAUCAGAUACCGUCGUAGU